rnacentral:piRNA from 2 species
UGACAUUCUUUUGUCCUAAGGACUAGUGCCC